GCUUGUCUCAAAGAUUAAGCCAUGCAUGUCUAAGUAUAAGCAAACUUGUACUGUGAAACUGCGAAUGGCUCAUUAUAUCAGUUAUAGUCUACUCGAUAGUACCUUACUACUUGGAUAACCGUAGUAAUUCUAGAGCUAAUACAUGCGUAAAAUCCCGACUCUCGCGGGGAGGGAUGUAUUUAUUAGUUAAAAAGCCAAUGCGGGUUCUGCCCGGUUUUGUGGUGAAUCAUAGUAACUGUUCGAAUCGCAUGGCUUCACGCCGGCGAUAGUUCAUUCAAAUUUCUGCCCUAUCAGCUUUCGACGGUAGUGUAGUGGACUACCGUGGCGUUAACGGGUAACGGAGAAUUAGGGUUCGGUUCCGGAGAGGGAGCCUGAGAAACGGCUACCACAUCCAAGGAAGGCAGCAGG
rnacentral:rRNA from 1 species